UCUGCCGUGGGCGCUGGAGAAUUGAGGGGGGCUGCUCCUAGUACGAGAGGACCGGAGUGGACGCAUCACUGGUGUUCGGGUUGUCAUGCCAAUGGCACUGCCCGGUAGCUAAAUGCGGAAGAGAUAAGUGCUGAAAGCAUCUAAGCACGAAACUUGCCCCGAGAUGAGUUCUCCCUGAGACUUUAAGUCUCCUGAAGGAACGUUGAAGACGACGACGUUGAUAGGCCGGGUGUGUAAGCGCAGCGAUGCGUUGAGCUAACCGGUACUAAUGAACCGUGAGGCUUAACCUUACAACGCCGAAG
rnacentral:rRNA from 2 species